rnacentral:rRNA from 1 species
CAGCAGCCGCGGUAAUACGAAGGGUGCAAGCGUUAAUCGGAAUUACUGGGCGUAAAGCGUGCGUAGGCGGUUUGUUAAGUCUGCUGUGAAAUCCCCGGGCUCAACCUGGGAAUGGCAGUGGAUACUGGCAAGCUAGAGUGUGUCAGAGGAUGGUGGAAUUCCCGGUGUAGCGGUGAAAUGCGUAGAGAUCGGGAGGAACAUCAGUGGCGAAGGCGGCCAUCUGGGACAACACUGACGCUGAGGCACGAAAGCGUGGGAGCAAACAGGAUUAGAUACCCGGGUAGUCCCUGUCUCUUAUACA